rnacentral:sRNA from 1 species
CCAUAGCCCUGAUAGGAACGAUAUCCUUUUUGUCUUGCCUUUUCGGCAGAAAAAAAGAUAAAGUGGAUUCCUUCGCCAGUU